CUCUGACACGGCCCGACGGUCGCCAGUCUGGCGCCAACGUUCGGCCGCGGGGCAAUGAC
rfam:Planctomycetes bacterium RIFCSPLOWO2_02_FTLL_50_16 rifcsplowo2_02_scaffold_366, whole genome shotgun sequence.